UUUCCCAGCCUUUUUCUUUUCUUUUAAUGCAAAAAAAAAAAAAAAAAAAAAAAAGCAUUUGGAUCAUUGAGGAGAGCCUUUGGUACCAAACCAACCAUCCAACUAAUAAAAAAAAAGAAUUUGGAUCAUUGGGGAGAGCCUUUGCUACCAAACCAACCAACUAACCAAAAAAAAAAAAUUGGGAUCAUUGGGGAGAGCCUUUUGUAACAAACCAACCAACCAACCAAUCAAAAAAAAAAAGCAUUUGGAUCAUUGAGGAGAGCCUUUGGUACCAA
rnacentral:lncRNA from 1 species